GAGAAAAUCUGUCCUGCUGUUUGGGUUUGAGUAGAUUUAGCUCGUUUUUAAUCAGAACCUGUGAUUUACCCCCUGAAAAUCCCAUCGGAUUAUAAUCACCCUCCACACUUGGUACACCUGGGUAAAAUGUGUAAAAAGCCUUAAAGUGGUGUUAUUAUCCCUCACUGGGGAAAAAAAAUAAAUAAAAAUACAAGCUCUCACGUCCAGUAAGAGGAAAACACCAAUAAAUACUUCUUUGUUUUUAUAACAGACUCACUGGUUCUGCAGGUUUUUGCAUAAAAACCAGAACGAAAGUUGUCUUUUCAUCACCCGAGUGUUUUCUAUUGGAAUUAGAUCUAGAAACUGACGUGGCCGUGGAGGAAGGUUGUUUUUGUGUCUGCUGACCUACUUGUGUGUUGAUUUGUGGGUCAUUAUUUCCCUGAAAGAUUCAGUCAUGACCCAUUUCUCAUUUCUGUCUGAGCUGCUCCGGUACGUCAAAUAGUCUGAAUUUACCUUCCACUCAAAAAAAAGUUGCCUUUUGGGGAGAAACUGGCCCAUACCAUCACAGAUACUUUGCCCUACUGAUGCUGAAAAGUUCAAUCUGACCCAAAGGAACUGCUUCAGUUCAUUACAAUCAGUUCAUGUCGUUCCUGAAAUGCUCGCUUGUCUUUCUGCAUAUUAACAUCCCAUAUUUAACUUUUUGUUGACACUGAUCCACUUUAAGAAAGUAAAUGACAAAUUUAAAAACAUGUUUUAGUCAAAGUUAAUAAUAUAAUAAUAUUUCUUCCUUCCACUUAAUUUUAGAUAAAGUUUGGACUUUACCUAAAACUUUUACUGUGGGAAAUUUUUAUUUUGGGGCUUUUUAAGCAUCUUUACUAGGGUUGAUGGUAUGUGUGAAGAGCGCCGAGUCCGUAUUGAUUAUUAGAUCAGUGAACCGUUACUAACAGUAGAAAAACCCAAUCAUUGUGUUUUAGAAAGAAUUCUGCUUUCAAUCACAACUUUUAUAAAUUAUUUUUACACAUGAUCAAUCAUAUUUUAUUUGAAUCCAUUCUUUCUAAUAUUUCAUUGAUUUAAAGUAAAUGUGUGAUGCAUCUUAGUUUAUGAUAAAAUAAUGUGAGGAUAAACAUUGGAUGUGGUUCCUUUGACGUUGGUUUAAGGUUUGAUUUUAUUUCAAUCAGCCACAACAUUAAUAUAUUGAACAUUCAUCUGUUUCUCUUUAGCUUCUGGCGAGUCCCACAUGUGACAUUCGUGUUGGUUUGUUCUCUGUGUUUCUUUUAUUGGUGGAAACAAAUAUGUUUACAGCAGAUUGUCCUUUAAAAAUACAUCCGGUAAAAUGUUAGGUUUUUUUCUGAACAGUGACGACCCACCACAAUGUUUGAGUGGGAGGUGGACACCAGAAUAGGACUAGAGAUAGACAAUAAAUCAAUUACAAUAAAUAUAUCAAAUAUUCACUGAAAUGGUCCAGAACCGCAUGGCAUUCUGGGAGAUGUAGGCAGAGGAAAGACUUUAGCCCCUCAACCUUUCAUGGCUAGCUUAGCAAGGUUGGUGGAAUCAACUGACUCGCUCACUCUUUGGUUACCUAGCAACAACAGUUUCAAGUUCCCCACCAACUGUGGUUGCCUGGCAACAACCCGUUGAGUAACUGACAGCAGCAGUUUGAGGUUUUAUCACUGUGCCUCAUAACUGCUUAAAAAUA